rnacentral:rRNA from 1 species
GAUGAACGCUGGCGGCGUGCCUAAUACAUGCAAGUCGAGCGAACAGACGAGGAGCUUGCUCCUCUGACGUUAGCGGCGGACGGGUGAGUAACACGUGGAUAACCUACCUAUAAGACUAGGAUAACUUCGGGAAACCGGAGCUAAUACCGGAUAAUAUAUUGAACCGCAUGGUUCAAUAGUGAAAGACGGUUUUGCUGUCACUUAUAGAUGGAUCCGCGCCGCAUUAGCUAGUUGGUAAGGUAACGGCUUACCAAGGCAACGAUGCGUAGCCGACCUGAGAGGGUGAUCGGCCACACGGGAACUGAGACACGGUCCAGACUCCGACGGGAGGCAGCAGUAGGGAAUCUUCCGCAAUGGGCGAAAGCCUGACGGAGCAACGCCGCGUGAGUGAUGAAGGUCUUCGGAUCGUAAAACUCUGUUAUUGGGGAAGAACAAAUGUGUAAGUAACUGUGCACGUCUUGACGGUACCUAAUCAGAAAGCCACGGCAAACUACGUG